UGAUGGCCUACCAAGGCGACGACGGGUAGCCGGCCUGAGAGGGUGACCGGCCACACUGGGACUGAGACACGGCCCAGACUCCUACGGGAGGCAGCAGUGGGGAAUAUUGCGCAAUGGGCGAAAGCCUGACGCAGCGACGCCGCGUGAGGGAUGACGGCCUUCGGGUUGUAAACCUCUUUCAGCAGGGACGAAGCGGAAGUGACGGUACCUGCAGAAGAAGCACCGGCCAACUACGUGCCAGCAGCCGCGGUAAUACGUAGGGUGCAAGCGUUGUCCGGAAUUAUUGGGCGUAAAGAGCUCGUAGGCGGUCUGUCACGUCGGCUGUGAAAACCCGAGGCUCAACCUCGGGCCUGCAGUCGAUACGGGCAAACUAGAGUGUUGCAGGGGAGACUGGAAUUCCUGGUGUAGCGGUGAAAUGCGCAGAUAUCAGGAGGAACACCGGUGGCGAAGGCGGGUCUCUGGGCAACAACUGACGCUGAGGAGCGAAAGCAUGGGGAGCGAACAGGAUUAGAUACCCUGGUAGUCCACGCCGUAAACGUUGGGCGCUAGGUGUGGGGGCCAUUCCACGGUCUCCGUGCCGCAGCUAACGCAUUAAGCG
rnacentral:rRNA from 1 species